GAUGAACGCUGGCGGCGUGCCUAAUACAUGCAAGUCGAGCGAACAGACGAGGAGCUUGCUCCUCUGACGUUAGCGGCGGACGGGUGAGUAACACGUGGAUAACCUACCUAUAAGACUGGGAUAACUUCGGGAAACCGGAGCUAAUACCGGAUAAUAUAUUGAACCGCAUGGUUCAAUAGUGAAAGACGGUUUUGCUGUCACUUAUAGAUGGAUCCGCGCCGCAUUAGCUAGUUGGUAAGGUAACGGCUUACCAAGGCGACGAUGCGUAGCCGACCUGAGAGGGUGGUCGCCCCCCCGGGACCUGGGCCGCGGCCCAGCCCCCAACGGGGGGCAGCAGUGGGAAUUUUUCCGCAAGGGGGGAAAGCCUAACGGGGCAACGCCGGGGGGGUAAGGAAGGUUUUCGGUUCGUAAAACUCUUUUAUUAGGGAAAAAAAAAUGUGUAAGAAACUAUGCCAGUCUUGACGGUACCAAAUAAAAAAGCCCCGGCUAACUCCGU
rnacentral:rRNA from 1 species